AAAAUCAGGGCCGGGCGCGGUGGCUAACGCCUGUAAUCCCAGCACUUGGGAGGCCCAGGCGGGUGGAUCACAAGGUCAGGAGUUCGAGACCAGCCUGACCAAUAUGCAGUAUGGUGACACCCCGUCUCUACUAAAAAUACAAAAAUUAGGUGGGCGUGGUGGCACGUGCCUGUAGUCCCAGCUAUCCUGGAGGCUGAGGCAGAAGAAUCACUUGAACCUGGGAGUUAAAGGUUGCAGUGAGCCGAGAUCAUGCCACUGCACUCCAGCCUGGGCGACAGAGUGAGACUCUGUCUCAAAAAAAAAAAAAAAAAAAAGAUAUGAAAAUCAGAUACAUACCAUCUUUUUAGUUCCUAAGGCUCUCACAAGAUUAUUUUGAAUAAACACCACCCAUUCAAACUGGUUUUUCCCUUUCCUGUAUUAUAUGAAGGGGAAAAUCCUCAUGGGAUGGAUAGUUUCCAGAAUUUGCCCAUUUCCAAGCCAGUACAGUAAAUGACAUGGGGGCCACUGAGUGGACCAUUGUAGAAAGCAAUGGUUCUUGUUUCUUAUUUUUUACAUUAUUUUCAGGGAUGUGUGUCCCAUCAAAGUCUCAUUAUGGAGGAGCUGAAUUAUCCCGGGACACCUAUGGCAUGGCAGGGCUGCCAGACACCAGCCUAAACUGCUCUCACUCUCAUUUCCAGACCAAGGGCCUCCUGUGGCCUGUAGCAAGCCAUGGGCAAUCACAGCAACCCUCUCUGAGGCCAAGGAAGUUCAGGUAUGAGCUGUACCUGAGGCUGUCCUGGCCUCUCCUCUCCCUUCAGUCCUCACUGGGUGUCUUCUCACCCUGCCCUCUGCCAGCUCCACUGCUUUCCCUGCUGGGUUUCAUUGCUUGUGCAAGGAAGAUACGGAAGGAGCCCAGCCACACAAUGGGUUGGUUCUUUCUAGCCCUUCCCAGACUGACUAUAGGCCAGAGGGGUCUGUAUCUAGAAAUCUUUUAUUACUCUAAGUUGAACAGUUUAAUGAUUAGUCAUUUUAAUUUAGAGUUGAGACACCAUUAGUAUUUGACUGUGGCCUUCUUAUUGAGAACUCUGUUCAACUUUGAAAUGCCAAAGCAGGAGCCUUUGUUCUUUGAUCCUGCUGUGAGUUAAGAAAUUAUUUCUUCAGAAGUGUUUCAUUUUGUGUAAUGAAGUCAAGGGUUAGAGUGACUCAGUGUUCCAUGAGUUAAGUGUCUUUGUAGAAUGAACAGUAAACUUAUCUCCU
rnacentral:lncRNA from 1 species